CCAACGUGUCGAGUCAAAGUGGGUGGGGAAAGAGAUUGCUUCUGGAUUUAAAGUUGCUGUAACUUCUUGAGGAAGCUGUUGUUGUCCAGGAUUCAGAAGUGCUGCCAGUUGUGAAUGGGACGAAGAUGAAAUGGCGAUGCUUUCGCGCUGCAUCAUGCUUUGGGACAUGCUUGAUGCAAUGGAUUCGUUGCUUUUGGCAAUGCUAGUACCUGCCAAAAUAUUGGAACAUUUCUUUUGAGUCUGAAUGGAAAUGUUGCUAUAGUUAAUUAUGCUUUGAACGUUUUUGUGUCCACUGAUUUGCAUUAUAUCCGUGGAGCAGCAUCCUGAAUCCCGCAGCUUCUGAACCAUGUGCUUCCUGGCAGAGUGAUUUAAACAACGAACCUGUAAGUUGCGACAACACAUUUGGAUGGGUCUUCAUCAUUGGCCCACAUUCUUGGCGGCACAGUUCUUGCUUCGUCAGUUGCACCCGUUCGAGUCUUUGUCUGCCUCUCGACCAACUCCAGAUACUCAUCUCCUUCUACGUCUCGGCACAGCUUCACAUCACCCCAUCUAAUUAAUUCGGAAAGGUUGACGACCAGUGAAAACAAUGUUAUUUUCAGUUAAAGUUGUGGUGACAGAACAGUCUACGAACAAAUUUUUAGAUACAUGUUCAUGUACAAUCUAAAUUGCAGACACUGGAAAGUUGAAUUGUUAAUGUGUUAUAAGACAUAGUUCGCCUUUAUAUUUAUAAGACAGAAAAAGUGACAGAAAAAUUUGCAAUUUUAAGUAAUAGUUAUAAGUCAAGAUGCAUCGUAUAUAUUCUGUAUUCCAGCAAGUUUGAAAUUUUAUUUUUUACCGUAAAUUGUAAUGUUCUUCCACACUCCGCAUGCCGAAGUUUGUUGUGAAUCGGAACCAUAGAGAGUUUAUU